rnacentral:rRNA from 1 species
AUUGAACGCUGGCGGCAGGCUUAACACAUGCAAGUCGCGCGAGCGGCGGACGGGUGAGUAAUGUCUGGGAAACUGCCUGAUGGAGGGGGAUACCUACUGGAAACGGUAGCUAAUACCGCCUACCAUCGGCUGUGCCCAGAUGGGAUUGGCUAGUAGGUGGGGUAAAUGCUCACCUAGUGGCCGAUCCCUCGCUGGUCGGAGAGGAUGACCAGCAAAACUGGAAAGGAGACACGGGCCAGACUACUACGAGAGGCAGCAGUGGGGAAUAUGGCACAAUGGGCGCAAGCCUGAUGCAGCCAUGCCGCGUGUAUGAAGAAGGCCUUCGGGUUGUAAAGUACUUUCAGCGGGGAGGCGUUACCCGCAGAAGAAGCACAGGCUAACUCCGUGCCAGCAGCCGCGGUAAUAC